AUUGAACGCUGGCGGCAUGCUUUACACAUGCAAGUCGAACGGCAGCGCGGGCUUCGGCCUGGCGGCGAGUGGCGAACGGGUGAGUAAUGCAUCGGAACGUGCCCAGUAGUGGGGGAUAGCCCGGCGAAAGCCGGAUUAGUACCGCAUACGACCUGAGGGUGAAAGCGGGGGACCGAAAGGCCUCGCGCUAUUGGAGCGGCCGAUGUCGGAUUAGCUAGUUGGUGGGGUAAAGGCUUACCAAGGCGACGAUCCGUAGCUGGUCUGAGAGGACGACCAGCCACACUGGGACUGAGACACGGCCCAGACUCCUACGGGAGGCAGCAGUGGGGAAUUUUGGACAAUGGGGGCAACCCUGAUCCAGCCAUGCCGCGUGCGGGAAGAAGGCCUUCGGGUUGUAACCGCUUUUGUUCGGGAAGAAAUCCUCUGGGCUAAUACCCCGGGGGGAUGACGGUACCGGAAGAAUAAGCACCGGCUAACUACGUG
rnacentral:rRNA from 1 species